CAAGGAAAGGUCAUUCUGCUACCGGGUGGGUGACAUUUGAGCCAGAAGUAGGGAUUGCUGAGCAGCAGGACAAACUGGCAUAUUAGCUCGUCCUCUACUGGGCCCCAGCCCAGAGACAGGCUUUUGGAGGAGAAGUGGGAGUAUGACGUGACUAAACCAGUGAACAAUUCUGUCAGCCAUAUCAUUUUUAGAUGGAGUUUACCAAGCAUGGAAUUUCACAAAAUAUCGUUUUGGUUUUGCCCUGUGGGAAAUUUAUGAUCUAAAACAAAUUAAACCAGCUCUAUUUACUCACAAGGAAAGACAUAUUUCUGAAAAAAUUUGAAGAAAUGCAAGAUCGUUACACUUCAACACCUGAACUAAGAACUAUUAAAGUGCUGAGAAGUCGAUGUUCUGUCAUAUUGGUUUUAAUAAAGAGAUAAGGAUCAUUUAUGAUUGGCAGAGUGGCUGCUUAUAUGCAAAG
rnacentral:lncRNA from 1 species